rnacentral:rRNA from 1 species
UACAGAGGUCUCAAGCGUUGUUCGGAUUCAUUGGGCGUAAAGGGUGCGUAGGCGGCGCGCUAAGUCGGGUGUGAAAUCUCGGAGCUUAACUCCGAAACUGCAUUCGAUACUGCCGUGCUUGAGGACUGGAGAGGAGACUGGAAUUUACGGUGUAGCGGUGAAAUGCGUAGAUAUCGUAAGGAAGACCAGUGGCGAAGGCGGGUCUCUGGACCGGUACUGACGCUGAUGCGCGAAAGCGUGGGGAGCAAACGGG